rnacentral:rRNA from 1 species
GACGAACGCUGGCGGCGUGCUUAACACAUGCAAGUCGAACGGAAAGGCCCUGCUUUUGUGGGGUGCUCGAGUGGCGAACGGGUGAGUAACACGUGAGUAACCUGCCCUUGACUUUGGGAUAACUUCAGGAAACUGGGGCUAAUAACGGAUAGGAGCUCCUGCUGCAUGGGGGGGGUUGGAAAGUUUCGGCGGUGGGGGAUGGACUCGCGGCUUAUCAGCUUGUUGGUGGGGUAGUGGCUUACCAAGGCUUUGACGGGUAGCCGGCCUGAGAGGGUGACCGGCCACAUUGGGACUGAGUUACGGCCAAGAUUCCAACGGGAGGCAGCAGUGGGGAAUAUUGCACAAGGGGCCGAAGCCUGAUGCAGCAACGCCGCGGGCGGGAUGACGGCCUUCGGGUGGUAAACCGCUUCCGCCGGUGACGAAGCGUUAGUGACGGUAAUGGGUAAAGAAGCACCGGCUAACUACGUG